GCACGGGUGCGUAACGCGUAUGCAACCUACCCUUAACAGAGACAUAACCUGGCGAAAGCUGGGCUAAUAUCUCAUGAGGUUAUAGAGGGGCAUCCCUAAAUAAUCAAAGCAGCGAUGUGGUUAAGGAUGGGCAUGCGUCCCAUUAGCUAGUUGGUGAGGUAACGGCUCACCAAGGCGACGAUGGGUAGGGGUUCUGAGAGGAAGGUCCCCCACACUGGUACUGAGACACGGACCAGACUCCUACGGGAGGCAGCAGUAAGGAAUAUUGGGCAAUGGUCGGAAGACUGACCCAGCCAUGCCGCGUGCAGGAAGAAGGCCCUAUGGGUUGUAAACUGCUUUAGCCAGGGGCUAAAUCUACCGAUGCGUUGGUAGCUGAAGGUACCUGGAGAAUAAGCAUCGGCUAACUCCGUGCCAGCAGCCGCGGUAAUACGGAGGAUGCGAGCGUUAUCCGGAUUUACUGGGUUUAAAGGGUGCGCAGGCGGUUGUUUAAGUCAGGGGUGAAAGCCCUAUGCUCAACAUAGGGAUUGCCUUUGAUACUGAACGGCUAGAGUGAAGAUGGAGUGGGUGGAAUGUGUUGUGUAGCGGUGAAAUGCAUAGAUAUAACACAGAACACCGAUCGCGAAGGCAGCUCACUAAUUUUCAACUGACGCUCAUGCACGAAAGCGUGGGGAUCAAACAGGAUUAGAUACCCUGGUAGUCCACGCUGUAAACGAUGAUCACUAGCUGUUGGUACGCAGAAGUAUCAGUGGCUAAGCGAAAGUGAUAAGUGAUCCACCUGGGGAGUACGACCGCAAGGUUGAAACUCAAAGGAAUUGACGGGGGCCCGCACAAGCGGAGGAGCAUGUGGUUUAAUUCGAUGAUACGCGAGGAACCUUACCAGGGCUCGAAC
rnacentral:rRNA from 1 species